CGCCUUUAUUGCCAUAAGCGAGGUAUAGAGUUCCUACGUUCCUUUUCCAAUUCGUAGGAACUUAAUACCGUGCUCUUGGAGGGCUGUU
rnacentral:pre_miRNA from 1 species